rnacentral:lncRNA from 1 species
CAAAUGAAUGCGAGAGCUGCUUUGCCUUUUAAAGGUUUUCAUUACAUCAAAAUUUGGUUGUGAAAUAUCAGCUAUUAGGAGAACAAUGUUUUUGAUUAAAUGGCACUGGAUUUAUAUACAGUAUCUCAACAGGGUUCAACUCCAACAUUAACCACCCAGGCAGGCUGGAUUCAGGCACAACCUCCCCAUCUCCACGACUGCAGGACAAAAACGCCAACAAUCACCCCAUCGGAAGUCCCAUCUCCAUAGAAAAUGGCAACCAGCUCUCCAACGUUUUGCUGGAAGAUGAGGAUCAGUCCAACAUCAUAACAUCACUUCACAGGCAUUUGGACAGGCAUCCCAACCAGAGGGAUCAUCUGAACUUCUCACCUUUUGGCACAGAAGCCACUCUAUAAAAUGGGGUCACUCUCGGGAUGCUUCCAAAACUACGGGGAUGGGUUUGACCAUCAAGCAAGAGGAGAAUGAAACCCCAGACCCAUAUUUUAAGCCAUCUGCAAAACAGCCACAG